GAGGAGGAGGAGGAAGCGCACGCACGCCCGCUGCCCUGCCCUGCGCCUGGGGCUCGCUAGCCCGCCGCCGGGCACCGCCGCUCCCGGAGCCCGGGCCUGGCGCCCCGGCCCCGCGGCCUUAACCCCUUCGCGCCCGCGGACGCCACGCGUCCGGGAGAGGCCGGGCCCUGGCACCUGCUGGCUGCGGGCGCGCGCGGCCACCCCGGCGCUCGAGGGCCCCGUUGGCCCGGGGACGCUGCUGAAGUCACACGCCAGACGACCGAGGCGCCGCGUGGGCCGAGAAGCCCGCGGGCUCGCCCCCUGGAGGUUGGCGACGUCCGCCCGGGCCGAGAGUGCCGCGCGGCAGCGGAGAGGGGCGUGGCGGCCGCAGGCCUCGCCGGACCCGCACAGGGUCGCGGGAGGGGGGCCGCGCUAGCAGUCUUUUGAACCUAAGUCCCGCAGCGAUUGGCCAGCCCAGAGGGAAUUGCCGCCAGUUUCACAGAGGAGGAAACUCAGGACCAGACUGGGAAGUGACUUAGACAAGGGCACACGGCCAUACUUGGCUCCAGGCGCUUCUCCUGGCGCCCGCUCUUUCCACGUCGCCACGAGGUCUCCACGGAACCCCAUGUUGUAAAAGCUGUCUUCUCGAGGUUGGACGAACCCUGCCCUAGGACAAAAUCCUGCCGGGGCCCCCUGGAGGUGGGAAGAUGAGUGUUUUCUGCCAUCAUCAGACCUGGGGACCCAAGGUCAAGGAUUUCAAGGAUCACCUCUGCGAAGAUGCUUGCUGAGGUGACCACCAGAGGAGCCUCUUCCUGCAGGUGACACUCUGCCCCGAGCCUGCUGGGCAGGGCACAGAGCCCACUGGAAAAAU